AGUGAACGCUGGCGGCAGGCCUAACACAUGCAAGUCGAACGGCAGCACAGAGGAGCUUGCUCCUUGGGUGGCGAGUGGCGGACGGGGUGAGGAUAGCGUCGGAAUCUGCCUAUUUGUGGGGGAUAACGUAGGGAAACUUACGCUAAUACCGCAUACGACCUACGGGUGAAAGCGGAGGACCUUCGGGCUUCGCGCAGAUA
rnacentral:rRNA from 1 species